AAAAAAACAAUUUUUUCCUUUUGCAAAAUUACGUCUGACAAGUAGUUUGCAGGAAAGCAGGUUGAAGUUAAUCAAUGUGCGUUUUUGG